UGCAGUCUUUUUUUUAGAUAAGUGGUUCUUUACAAUUGACCUCACUGGCCAAAAUGGCUGCCACAGAGAACGUAGUUAAUGGGCCCCACCUCCUUCCUUCAUGGAUACUGGGGAUAAAUAUGUGCUACAGGCAAAC